rnacentral:rRNA from 1 species
UUUCAUGACUGGGGUGAAGUCGUAACAAGGUAACCGUAGGGGAACCUGCGGUUGGAUCACCUCCUUACCUUAAAGAA